rnacentral:rRNA from 1 species
GCCUAAAGCGUCCGUAGCCGGCUCUGUAAGUUUUCGGUUAAAUCUGUACGCUCAACGUACAGGCUGCUGGGAAUACUGCAGAGCUAGGGAGUGGGAGAGGUAGACGGUACUCGGGAGGAAGUGGUAAAAUGCUUUGAUCUCUCGAUGACCACCUGUGGCGAAGGCGGUCUACCAGAGCACGUCCGACGGUAAGGGAUGAAAGCUGGGGGAGCAAACCGGAUUAGAUACCCGGGUAGUCCCAGCUGUAAACUAUGCAAACUAAGUGAUGCAUUGGUUUGUGGCCAAUGCAGUAUUUCAGGGAAGCCGUUAAGUUUGCCGCCUGGGAAGUACGUACGCAAGUAUGAAACUUAAAGGAAUUGGCGGGGGAGCACCACAAGGGGUGAAGCCUGCGGUUCAAUUGGAGUCAACGCCAGAAAUCUUACCCGGAGAGACAGCAGAAUGAAGGUCAAGCUGAAGACUUUACCAGACAAGCUGAGAGGUGGUGCAUGGCCGUCGCCAGCUCGUGCCGUGAGAUGUCCUGUUAAGUCAGGUAACGAGCGAGAUCCCUGCCUCUAGUUGCCACCAUUACUCUCAGGAGUAGUGGGGCGAAUUAGCGGGACUGCCGCAGUUAAUGCGGAGGAAGGAGAGGGCCACGGCAGGUCAGUAUGCCCCGAA